AGGAGGGGGAAGCAGGAGGAGGAGGGGGAGGAGGAAGGGCGUAAGGGACACCCACACCCCACACACAUCCACACACACACACACCCGCGCAGCCACAUAGAGAGGGAGGAAGGAGAGCGGCCCGGUGCGCGCGCGCAGAGAGAGAACCCGAGACAGAGAGAGGGAGAGGGUGAGAGAGAGAGCGAGAGCCAACCACCGCCGAGUCAAGAUUCAGCGAUUCCACAGCAAUCGCCCUAAUGACAACAGCCUCAUAAUAUCUCCCCUAAAUCCACAGCCUGGGUCCUUUUCUGCUCAGCUGCGAAGCUCUGGGCGGUCGUUCACUGCGGGCCCAGAAAGAGCCCUAAGCUCGUGACCCCGAAACUGCAUCCCCUGGAGCCGAGGACCCAAGGCGCCGAGCGGGCGGGUGAACCCAGCCAGUCCCCUCCCAGUCCCCGCAACCCCCGCCUUUGGGUUGGGGCGACCCGGCCUCUCCCUGCCGCCGCCGGGCCAGCGGCGGCAGGAGGCUGGGCAGGUGCCGCGGGCUCUGCCGAAAGCGCUGAAAUCGAAAACCGUCGCCGCUCUAGGAGAACUGAGGCAAGUGAGGCUGAGGCUCAGCUCGUCGACACCGCUGCCCCCAGCCUCGGCCCAGGAGCCUGCCGACCCGCCUGCACCCCUCCAGCUCCCGGGGUGUCCCCGGCUUGGGGGUGCAAAGCUGGGCGGAGGGCGGAGGCCAGGCGCGCAGCUUUGUGCGCCUGGCCAGGGCCGGGCGAGGCGGGGCAGGCGCGCAGCCCGGGGCUGUCAGAGCCUCCCCGCAGAGCCGAGCUCCGCGCCGCCCACCGAGCCCACCUCGCGGGCCGGCAGCUGCCAGAGCCUCUCCGCUCCAGCCCGAAGCACCACGCCCGCCGCCCAGAGCCCGUAAGUUGAGAGUCCAGGAUUCUGGGGGAGGGAGGCGGGGCGGCCGGUCCGCGGCGCGGAUGGCUGGACUGGUUCCCAGCAGAGCUGGGAGCGCAGGCUCCGCAGGGUGCGGGCUAGGGGUGCUGACGGGGUUGGGGGGGUGGUGUGUGCAGCAUCAGAGCGUCCCCUCCCAAGUUCCCAGGCGCUUGUCUUGGGGAGGGGAGUUAGGAGCAGAAGGACCUCGGGUUCUGCGGCCCAGGCCGCCUGCCCCAGUGCUCUGGGGACCUGAAGCACUGGGCAGCAGAAGGCCAGGAGCUCAACUGGCAUGUCCCGCCCUAUUUCCAUCCCAGGAACUCCUAAUUCCAGACCAAACUGACAAUUUUUAGGACUCAUCUCUGCCCUGGGCAAGGCAGUGCCCAGGCCUUGAUCCAUGCAAAGGGCAAAGCCGCCCGACUCUAACGCAGAGCUGUGAGCCUGAAGGGCCGCGCUGGACAUGGCCAGAGAAAGACUUUUCUUUUUCCAACUUCGGCGUUUGGUUUUGUGUGUCCACCACGCGCAGCUCCGGAGCUGGCAGACCCCAAAUGGAUUCUCAACAGGUGGCCAAGAUUCCAGGAACGCAGUGGUCCCCGCAGGAUCCCUGCGAGAGCAGCUUCGAGUCGCAGGGGUGCUACCAGCAUCCCCAUCCCCGCACGCCGGAAGCCAGCGCUCCCGCGGGCUUCAGAGCCUGGAAGACGCGCGGGCCCGCAAGGAGGCUCCGGGCGGAGGGAAAAGUCUCAAGGCUUUCGCAGCACGACCCUGAGCCACCCUCCGUGGUACCCUUCUUCCUGCUCCAGGCCCCUAGGCCUCUCCAAGGGCUCUAAGGGAUGGCGUGGCCCCAGGGUGCCUGGGCUUGGCCGGGGAGCACCCUCCUGAGGCCGCAGAACCCAGCACGCCCGGCGGGGGAGGGAGGAGGGGCCGAGGGGGCGGGCCCAGGCCAGUUCCCAGUUACAAAUACAGCAGCUCCCGGGAGGCCGAGGAGGAGAGUUUCGCCCCCAAACACGUAGAUCACUCACCCGAGGCGCCUUGUUUUCCACUCUUGGGUCCUGCAGUUUCCCCAGGAUCCCGUGACGCACUGGCCCAGUUGGCCAGCGUGGUGGCGGGGUGUGCCCGAGAGUCUUGAGGAGACCCCCCUCCUCCCAUGUGGCUUAGUCUGGCCUGGCCAAAAUCCACCAGAAGAGAGCCCAGAGGCUGUCUCAACCCUUCCGAUGGGAGCAAGGCGCAGGAUCGUCGGAGGAUCGCCCUCCUCCUGGAAAGUUAAGAAGAUGGGGAGAUGAAGGUGUAAGAGAGGCCUAGAAGGCCCCGGGGCAGAAGGCCUUAUUAACCUGGCACCCCACCUAAAGCCCCGGGUUUACACUUGCACACUUCCUUCUCCCCAUGCAGACUCAGGAGGUCGCACAUAUUCGAUAUCAGGCUUGAGCUGAGUCACCUGACUGUACACAGAACAUAUAUGCAGCUGUACCCGAAUACGUACCCGAGAAUUAGAGGAACACUAACAGCAGGAUCGGAAGAAAAAAAGAAGUGUUCGCAGACAGAAUUAUUCCAAUGCACGGGUGCACAUCAAGUUGUCCAGAUGCAGACAAAAGCUGUGGUGCCCACAAGGAAUGACCCCAGCCACAGGCAGAUGUGCAGGAAGCCACACACAGGGAGAGCCUGAAGGAGGAUGCAGGACUCGGGGCCAAGGGCUUCCUGCUAGAGGGACGUUGGCUUCCAAGGGUGAAACUGUUGAGCCAACCAGUUAAAGGUUUCAGGUCAAGUCCUGGAGACUAGAAAGAGCACAACGUCCAUCCACCGCUGAUCCUUUUGCCUUCCACUAAGCUGGGCUUUAGACACUCAGAAGAGGGCAACCCAGGAAAGAAUCAUUUUGAUUCGGGUUAUUUAUUUGUUACUAUUGUUGGUUAAGGAGAUUGUGUUCUGAAGAAGGAUGGGUGGGGAGCAUAGAUGGAUGCCCUAACUCAAUGCUGGGAGAUUCCUAAUUCUUAAUGGGAACAUUCGGCUCCAACGAGGGUUCAAGAAGCCAGGGGCCCUUAUUUUGCCUCUUUCUUGCCUUUCAUUGCUAAAUGCAGUCCUUAAAAAGAACCUUCGCCUAGCUCCACGCCCUCCUGUCCUCACUUCCAUCCCAAUCCCCUUUAUAUCAAAUAUGUCCACAAAAGAACACUCCCAAGCAAACUGAACUAUUUUAUUACACUAAUUUUCUUUGUGGGAUAUUGGGGUAUUCUCACCCCCUCCUACCCAUUUCCAAACAGAAGCCACCAUCCUGAGAGUUUCAAAGAGUGGCUGUUCCAAAAGGCCUUAGCAAGUGCACAGGCUUGAUGCUGCCUUCAGCUCCUUUUGCCUUCCAGACAGUAGCCACCACGAGUUUCCCCGCAGAAGAGGCAGGCACCCUGGAUGCAAAGUCGCCCUUCUUUCCACUUCACCUCCCCCACCCCAGCUCUCUCUCUGAAAGUCGAGGGUGCAUUUGGGAAGAUUCUUUUAGACAAAAAGAGGGGGAGGGAAGAGGACUCUCUGGGCUAGCAAGUGGAUGACUCCCCUCCAAGGGGCUGAGGAAGAUUUUUCUUGUGAAGAAGAGAUGAACCACUCCCUAAACAGGACAGGGGGACACUUUGAAGCAGAUCCAGUUGUCCAAGAAAUGUAGGGUGAGGAGUGGGAAGUAUGAGGAAUUUCUUCCCUUUUGGAGGCUAACAUGUGUGUCUCCCCCACCCCCAAUCCUGGAAAUUUUAGCAAGAGAUGUUCUGGUAGAUGUUUCAAACAAUAAAGACUGAAAAU
rnacentral:lncRNA from 9 species